rnacentral:rRNA from 1 species
GUGAGGAAUAUUGGUCAAUGGGCGCAAGCCUGAACCAGCCAUGCCGCGUGCAGGAAGACGGUCCUAUGGAUUGUAAACUGCUUUUAUUUGGGAAUAAACUCCGGUACGUGUACCGGCCUGAUGGUACCAAAUGAAUAAGCACCGGCUAACUCCGUGCCAGCAGCCGCGGUAAUACGGAGGGUGCAAGCGUUAUCCGGAAUCAUUGGGUUUAAAGGGUCCGCAGGCGGUCUUAUAAGUCAGUGGUGAAAGCCUACAGCUCAACUGUAGAACUGCCAUUGAUACUGUAGGACUUGAAUUCGAUCGAAGUGGGCGGAAUGUGACAUGUAGCGGUGAAAUGCUUAGAUAUGUCACAGAACACCGAUAGCGAAGGCAGCUCACUAGGUCUGGAUUGACGCUCAGGGACGAAAGCGUGGGGAGCAAACAGGAUUAGAAACCCCGGUAGUCC